rnacentral:rRNA from 1 species
AGAGUUUGAUUCUGGCUCAGAACGAACGCUGGCGGCAGGCUUAACACAUGCAAGUUGAGCGGGAAUCGAGAGUAGCUUGCUACUUGAGAGGAGAGCAGCGCACUGGUGAGUAACACGUGGGAACAUACCUUUUGGUGGGGGACAACAGUUGGAAACGACUGCUAAUACCGCAUAAGCCCUGAGGGGGAAAGAUUUAUUGCCGAAAGAUUGGCCCGCGGAAGAUUAGGUAGUAGGUGGGGUAACGGCCUACCUAGCCAACGAUCUAUAGCUGGUCUGAGAGGACGAUCAGCCACAUUGGGACUGAGACACGGCCCAGACUCCUACGGGAGGCAGCAGUGAGGAAUAUUGGGCAAUGGAGGCAACUCUGACCCAAGCCAUGCCGCGUGAGUGAAGAAGGUUUUCGGAUUGUAAAGCUCUUUCGGACGUGAAGAUGAUGACGGUAGCGUCUAAAGAAGCCCCGGCUAACUUCGUGCCAGCAGCGGC